GCGUAAAGCGCGCGCAGGCGGUUUCUUAAGUCUGAUGUGAAAGCCCACGGCUCAACCGUGGAUGCGUCAUUGGAAACUGGGGAACUUGAUUGCAAAAAAGAAAAUCGGAUUUCCCCGUGUACCGGUGAAUGGCGUAAAGAUGGGAAGAACCCCCAUGGGCAAAGGCAGUCUUUUGGUCUGUAACUGACCCUAAGGCCCGAAACCGGGGGGAGCAAACAGGAUUAAAUCCCCGGGUAUCCCCCCCCGUAAACAAUGAUGGCUAGUGGUUAGAGGUUCUCCACCCUUGAUGGCUGCAUCUAACCCUUUAACCUCUCCGCCGGGGAAGUACGGCCCCAAAACUGAACCUCAAAGGAUUUGACGGGACCCCGCACAACCGGGGAAUCAUGUGGUUUAUUUCAAACCACCGCGAAAAACCUUACCAGGCCUUGACUUCCUCUGACACCUCUAGAGAUAGAGCGCCCCCCUUCAGGGGACAGAAUGACAGGUGGUGCAUGGUUGUCAUCUCCUCGCGUCAUGAGAUGUU
rnacentral:rRNA from 1 species